rnacentral:rRNA from 1 species
GUGCCAGCAGCCGCGGUAAUACGGAAGGUCCGGGCGUUAUCCGGAUUUAUUGGGUUUAAAGGGAGCGCAGGCUGAUUGUUAAGCGUGACGUGAAAUGUAGCCGUUCAACGGUGAACUGCGUCGCGAACUGGCAGUCUUGAGUGAGUACGACGUCAGCGGAAUUCGUGGUGUAGCGGUGAAAUGCUUAGAUAUCACGAAGAACCCCGACUGCGAAGGCAGCUGACGAGUCCUUUACUGACGCUAAAGCUCGAAGGUGCGGGUAUCGAACAGGAUUAGAUACCCUGGUAGUCCGCACGGUAAACGAUGGAUGCCCGCUGUUGGCGAUAUAGUGUCAGCGGCCAAGCGAAAGCGUUAAGCAUCCCACCUGGGGAGUACGCCGGCAACGGUGAAACUCAAAGGAAUUGACGGGGGCCCGCACAAGCGGAGGAACAUGUGGUUUAAUUCGAUGAUACGCGAGGAACCUUACCCGGGCUUGAACUGCAGGGGAACGAUAGAGAGAUCUUGAGGUCAGCAAUGACCCCUGUGGAGGUGCUGCAUGGUUGUCGUCAGCUCGUGCCGUGAGGUGUCGGCUUAAGUGCCAUAACGAGCGCAACCCUUGUCUGUAGUUGCCAUCAGGUGAUGCUGGGCACUCUGCGGAUACUGCCACCGUAAGGUGUGAGGAAGGUGGGGAUGACGUCAAAUCAGCACGGCCCUUACGUCCGGGGCUACACACGUGUUACAAUGGGGUGUACAGAGAGUCGGUGCAUGGCAAUAUGCAUCCAAUCCUUAAAGCACUCCUCAGUUCGGAUUGGGUCUGCAACCCGACCCCAUGAAGCUGGAUUCGCUAGUAAUCGCGCAUCAGCCAUGGCGCGGUGAAUACGUUCCCGGGCCUUGUACACACCGCCCGU